UACAGAGGUCCCAAGCGUUGUUCGGAUUCAUUGGGCGUAAAGGGUGCGUAGGUGGCGCGCUAAGUCGGGUGUGAAAUUUCGGAGCUUAACUCCGAAACUGCAUUCGAUACUGGUGUGCUUGAGGACUGGAGAGGAGACUGGAAUUCAUGGUGUAGCAGUGAAAUGCGUAGAGAUCAUGAGGAAGACCAGUGGCGAAGGCGGGUCUCUGGGACAGUUCCUGACGUGAGGCACGAAGGCCAGGGGAGCAAACGGG
rnacentral:rRNA from 1 species